GGGCUGGAGCCGCCGGUUGGCCGGCGGUGAGAGUGGCAGGUGCGCCCUGCGGUAGAGGUGGCCUCCGAACCCAGGAAAAGAGGAACAAAGACGGAGGGACUGAGAAGUUUUGAACUCCAUUUAUUCAAAGGGACCCUCAAGUGUAAAUAAAUAUGAAAAGAAGGGAAAUGAUCUUCAGUAACAAGGUUAUAAAAUCAAUUUCAAGAGGAAAAAUAUAAAUUAAUAUUUGAUAUGA